ACUUUUCCUCUAUCCAUUAUCUAAAAAAUGACUAACUGAGGUCAAGUUAACACUUUUGGUAUUCAAGAUGUGACUAGGUUAAGUAACUUAUGACAGUGCUAAAAAGUGACAAAAAUUAUCGGUCCAAUAUUCCAUAUCUUCUAUGAUAAUGAAGAAGUGAAAAAUUGGGAUAUGGUGGAAAAUGUUGAAUGCCCUUCUCAGCCAGC
rnacentral:lncRNA from 1 species